UGCUCGAGUGGCGAACGGGUGAGUAACACGUGGGUGAUCUGCCCUGCACUUCGGGAUAAGCCUGGGAAACUGGGUCUAAUACCGGAUAGGAGCCAUUUUUAGUGUGAUGGUUGGAAAGUUUUUUCGGUGUAGGAUGAGCUCGCGGCCUAUCAGCUUGUUGGUGGGGUAAUGGCCUACCAAGGCGGCGACGGGUAGCCGGCCUGAGAGGGUGGACGGCCACAUUGGGACCGAGAUACGGCCCAG
rnacentral:rRNA from 1 species